rnacentral:pre_miRNA from 1 species
CGUUUUUAUUUUGCUAGCUGAGUGCUCUUUUAGGGAAAAUAAAUUCUCAAAAUUUAUUUUCCCUAAAAGAGCACUCAGCUAGCAAAAUGAAAA